UAUGCUUGGGUCAGUCACUACCCUAUCAGCUCCUUUGUGUCAGCCAGGGCAAAUGUUCUGGUUGAGUGGUUCCCUAUUGUUUUCCUUAGGGUCAGCUUUGCAUGCUUUUUAACCCUCACUUGCACCUCAGUCACUACACAGACAAGUCACUGACAGGCGACAGCAAGUGGACACAUUUUACAGAUUUUGUAAGGCAAGGUACUUUGAUGUCACUGUAGCCCUGACCAUGUAGUCAUGACAGGCUAAAGUGUAACCUACACCUAGAGGCCAUACUUCUGGGUGUGAACGAAAGGGUAUACCACUCGUCAUCUAAUAAACGAAUCACU